AUUGCCUUUAGUAACGGGCGAGUGAAGCGGCAACAGCUCAAAUUUGAAAGCUGGCUCCUUCGGAGUCCGCGUUGUAAUUUGUAGAGGAUGAUUCGGCGAGGGCUCCCGCCUAAGUCCCCUGGAACGGGGCGUCAUAGAGGGUGAGAAUCCCGUAUGCGGUGGGUUGCCUUAGCCAUGUGAAUCUCCUUCGACGAGUCGAGUUGUUUGGGAAUGCAGCUCUAAAUGGGAGGUAAAUUUCUUCUAAAGCUAAAUACCGGCCAGAGACCGAUAGCGCACAAGUAGAGUGAUCGAAAGAUGAAAAGCACUUUGGAAAGAGAGUUAAAAAGUACGUGAAAUUGUUGAAAGGGAAGCGCUUGCAGCCAGACUUGUCCGCAGUUGCUCAACCGGUCUCCUGACCGGUGUACUCUUCUGCGGCCAGGCCAGCAUCAGUUCGGGCGGUCGGAUAAAGGCCCUGGGAAUGUAGCUCCUCUCGGGGAGUGUUAUAGCCCAGGGUGGAAUGCGGCCAGCCUGGACUGAGGAUCUCGCUUCGGCUAGGAUGCUGGCGUAAUGGCUGUAAGCGGCCCGUCUUGAAACACGGACCAAGGAGUCUAACAUCUAUGCGAGUGUUUGGGUGUCAAACCCAUGCGCGUAAUGAAAGUGAACGGAGGUGGGAACCCUCACGGGUGCACCAUCGACCGAUCCUGAUGUCUUCUGAUGGAUUUGAGUAAGAGCAUAGCUGUUGCGACCCGAUAGAUGGUGAACUAUGCCUGAAUAUGGUGAAGCCAGAGGAAACUCUGGUGGACGCUCGCAUCGGCUCUGACGUGCAAAUCGAUCGUCAAAUUUGGGUAUAGGCCCGAAAGACUAAUCUAACCCUCUAGUAGCUGGUUCCUGCCGAAGUUUCCCUCACGAUAGCACUAACGUAUUCCUUUUAUGAAGUAAAACGAAUGAUUAGAGGACCUUGGGGUGAAUCAACCUAACCUAUUCUCAAGCUUUAACAUUUAAAA
rnacentral:rRNA from 1 species